AUCCUUAGAGAGUGAAGCUUGCUGAUCUCGGAAGCCAUAAAAAAAAUUGGCGUCGGCCGUCUACGCUGCUACACCGUCUAAGGUGCUACAGGCGCAUCGGAUGUAAACGCGGGUCCACUUGACUGCCGCUGUGCUGCGGAGAAGCCGAACAUGCGCUCCCGAAGCAGUCCGAGAAAUUCGGUAUAUUCAUUGCGCGCUUGAGUACGUUCGCUAUAAAAAUGCCAAAAUACGUGUAAUUCUUUAUACUUUCUGUCGGUAGUUCGAUAUAGCCAACAAUUCGUUAUAUACAUGUUCAUUAUAUCGAGGUUCGACUAUAUCGUGGUGGCACUCAACAAAUGUGAGUCACAAAACAAGGGCAAAAGUAGGCAUAAUUAUUAUUACAGUAAUCAAAAUACUUAAUUAAACUGGGUGUAUUAGAGCAAGAGCUCGUUUAAUGUACAUACACUUAAUAAACUGACAAGAGGUAAAAACAUGACACGAAAAAAGGUAAAACCAUGAUAACAGUAAAAAAAGAAGACAUAAUGCACAGGAGUAACUGUUUUUAAAACGAAAUAUAUAAUAACAAAGGCGUAAAACAAACACUGAUGUUGAUUUCAGAUGAAGCUCUGAAGAAGGAUUUUGAAGUUUUUCGUGUUAGUUAUGCUUGUGAGUGUUGCAGGUAGGUUGUUCCAAUGCCUUGUUGUUUGGGGGGAAAAUGGAUAUGAAAAGUCACCGGUGUUACUGUGUGGAAUGUUUACCCUUUGUCGAUGGUCUACGCACGAUGAAAUGUAUGGUGGUGGCUGAAUGAAAAUAGAAUGUAAAUAUGGGUUGUGGUAGUAGAUUGUAUGAAAAAGACAGAGUGGAGACAGUUUUCUGCAGAGUGAUAGUGGUGGAAGGUGUAGAAUGUCUUUCAUGCUUGUAACACUGGCAGUUCUUUGGUAGUAGUUGAGCAAAAAGAGACAGAUGGAGCGAUUUUGUAUCUUGUUUAGUAGUUUUAUAUGAUUCUCAUAUCCGGUGUCCCAUACUGACGAUGCAUAUUCAAGCUUUGGUCGAAUGAAAGUUGUGUACAGUAGUAGUGUUAGUGAUGAUGGAGCUUGAGAAAACUUCCAGCGAAAGUAUCCUAAUGUGCCAGUGGCCUUGGUAGCUAUGUGAUGAAUAUGAGUUUUACAUGAUAAGUUAUUAGUAUUAUGAACACCCAAGUAUUUGCAUAAUAUUAUGCAUUCCAGUGGAAUGUUAUUAAGUGCGUAAGUUAAGUGCUUGGUGACGAACUUGCCGAGACAGAGCUCGCACGUGUGCCUCCGAACGUUGUUGUGCCACAUUAGGUGGCUCUGGAGGCUCGUGCUUUGUGGGAACGCUUCGGGGCACAGGUGGCAGCUUGUAGCCUACCGACAUGGCGCAGUGAGGGCACUUGAGCAGCCUGAGCUUCUCGUGCACCCGCUACCGAUGUCGGUCCAGGAUGGAUAUAAAAGACACCACCUUGGAGCCCGACGGCGACAGCCGGGUCUCGGCAGAACGACUGCUCGACGCGAGCGUGGAAGUUUCCUCGCUGUCCUCGGAGAUUGGCGGCACUGCGAAGUUCCAACAGGUUUGCCAUGUGUUGGAGAAAAACAAAUUUACACCAUGAAGCAGCCGAUGGUCUCUUCAUCAUCUUCUUCCUCUUCAGCUUCGCUCCCAUAACAGAGGUCCCUGUGCCCUUAUGGUGCUUGGUGUAUGCUGUGGAAGUCAUAGAAAAAAAAAAAGAAUACUUCC